rnacentral:rRNA from 1 species
AUUGAACGCUGGCGGCAGGCCUAACACAUGCAAGUCGAACGAGUGGCGGACGGAUGUGUAAUGUCUGGGAAAGUGCCUGGUGGAGGGGGCUAACAAAUGGAAACUGUCACUCAUACCGCAUCCCAUAACAUGUGUCCAGAUGGGUUUGGAUAGGUGGUGGGGUAACGGAGCACCAAGACGACGAGCCCUAGCUGGUCUGAGAGGAUGACCAGCCACACUGGAACUGAGACACGGUCCAGACUCCUACGGGAGGCAGAAGUGGGGAAGAUUGCACAAUGGGCGCAAGCCUGAUGCAGCCAUGCCGCGUGUAUGAAGAAGGCCUUCGGGUUGUAAAGUACUUGCAGCUGGGAGGCGUUACCAGCAGAAGAAGCACCGGCUAACUCCGUGCCAGCAGCCGCGGUAAUUC